CCUACGGGUGGCAGCAGUGAGGAAUAUUGGUCAAUGGGCGCGAGCCUGAACCAGGCAAGUCGCGUGAGGGAAGACGGUCCUAUGGAUUGUAAACCUCUUUUGUCGGGGAGCAAAAGACGCCACGCGUGGCGUUCCGAGAGUACCCGAAGAAAAAGCAUCGGCUAACUCCGUGCCAGCAGCCGCGGUAAUACGGAGGAUGCGAGCGUUAUCCGGGUUUAUUGGGUUUAAAGGGUGCGUAGGCGGGUGGUUAAGUCAGCGGUAAAAUCCCGGGGCUCAACCCCGGCGAGCCGUUGAAACUGGCUGUCUGGAGAUGUCGAGAGGUAUGCGGAAGGCGCAGUGUAGCGGUGAAAUGCUUAGAGAGUGCGCAGAACUCCGAUUGCGAAGGCAGCAUACCGGCGGCGAUCUGACGCUGAGGCACGAAAGCGUGGGUAUCGAACAGGAUUAGAUACCCCAGUAGUC
rnacentral:rRNA from 1 species